CGGGGUGUAGCUCAGCCUGGUAGAGCACUGUCUUCGGGAGGCAGGGGUCGUGAGUUCAAUUCUCGCCAUCCCGACCA
rnacentral:tRNA from 4 species